GCCUACGGCCACACCACCCUGAAUGCGCCAGAUCAUGUCUGAUCUCAGAAGCGAUCCAGGGCCGGGCCUGCUUAGUACCUGGUUGGGACUGAAAUAAAAAAGCCAGCGCCAAAGGCA
rnacentral:rRNA from 1 species